rnacentral:rRNA from 1 species
AACGAACGCUGGCGGCAGGCUUAACACAUGCAAGUCGAACGAGAUCUUCGGAUCUAGUGGCAGACGGGUGAGGAACACGUGGGAACAUCCCUUUCAGUUCGGAAUAACGUUGGGAAACUAACGCUAAUACCGGAUACGUCCUUCGGGAGAAAGAUUUAUCGCUGAAAGAUUGGCCCGCGUCUGAUUAGCUAGUUGGUGAGGUAAUGGCUCACCAAGGCUACGAUCAGUAGCUGAUCUGAGAGGAUGAUCAGCCACAUUGGGACUGAGACACGGCCCAAACUCCUACGGGAGGCAGCAGUGGGGAAUAUUGGACAAUGGGCGCAAGCCUGAUCCAGCCAUGCCGCGUGAGUGAUGACGGCCUUCGGGUUGUAAAGCUCUUUUGUCCGGGAAGAUAAUGACCGUACCGGAAGAAUAAGCCCCGGCAAACUUCGUGUCAGCCGCCGCAGUAA